rnacentral:rRNA from 1 species
UACGUAGGGUCCGAGCGUUGUCCGGAAUUACUGGGCGUAAGGAGCUCGUAGGUGGUUUGUCGCGUUGUUCGUGAAAACUCACAGCUUAACUGUGGGCGUGCGGGCGAUACGGGCAGACUUGAGUACUGCAGGGGAGACUGGAAUUCCUGGUGUAGCGGUGAAAUGCGCAGAUAUCAGGAGGAACACCGGUGGCGAAGGCGGGUCUCUGGGCCGAUACUGACGCUGAGGAGCGAAAGCGUGGGGAGCGAACAGG